UUUUAUGCAUCAGCUGAUCAUUUUGGAUGCUAGCUAUAAUCAAUUUUAAUAAAUAAAACAAAAAACCCUGAAAACAGAUAAACAAAUUUAGACGGUAUUGGACAUACCGUGUGCUUCCCUGGUGUUUUCUAGAUUGCGGUAUUCACUACACAAACUUGAGGGGGGUAAGCUGCAAUCCCUUUCAUGGCAUUGCCUUUCCCCCUGUGAACUGAACCAGAUGCUGCAAUCCUCAUUAGAGGCCCUUCUGUGUGUGUCUCCUAAAGGAGAGGUCCAGACGGUGGCAACAUGAAAACAGGCCUUUUCUGCAAUGGCUCCCCACUUCUGGAAUGUUCUUUCCAGGGAGGAUUACCUGGUGCCAUCAUUAAAUAUACUUCGGUGCCAGGCAAAAAUACUAUUCUACUUGCAGGCCUUUUCAACUGUGGUGGGGUUUUGUUAUGUAUUUUUGUAUUUUUCUACUGGAAACCUUUUUGCGCUUGGAUAAAUGAUGGUUUAGAAAUUUAAUAAAUAAAAUUAUUAUUUUAAAAUGUAUUAUCAUUAAUACAUGUUUAUGUUUAAUUGUCUGUGCCAAUCACAACACUUAAAAACAAUAUGUUGUUUCAUUUGCAUUUCUGUUUCAGUGUCUUAAAUUUGUUAGUAUUGCCAUGUACUAUAGAUGCAAUUGGCUUAAUAGUUUUUCUGCACUUUUGGGAUAACAUUUCAGUCACUGAUUUUUGCUGUAGUGGCAUAUUAUUUUUUUAUUUAUUGUAUUUAUUCAAUUUGUGCACCACCCUAUACCUUUUGAUCUUAGGUCAGUUCACAACAUAAAACCACAAUGUAGAAAAAGCAAAGGUGACCAGGUAUCAGUGGGAAAGUAGGUCACAUUUCAAAUUUGAUGCAUUUCUUUUUGUUUCUGCCCUUCUUGAAGAAUGUGGGCAGUUGGGGCAUUUUUUGGGGGGGCAGUGACAUUUCCUUGCAAUGUCAUUUUCCCAAUUACAGCAGCCCUUCUGCCAGCUAAAAUUAGCCCUGAAAUGAGAAAGAUACAUCUAUACUUUAUGUUUCUGCUCCCAUCCAAUUCUAAUUAUUUCUUCUUCUUCUUCUUCUUCUUCUUCUUCUUCUUCUUCUUCUUCUUCUUCUUCUUCUUCUCCUCCUCCUCCUCCUCCUCCUCCUCCUCCUCCUCCUUUUUCUUCUCCCAUGUCACUUGUAGUUUUGCCUUUAACCUUAGCUCUCUAACAGUGGUUAAAACACUGCAUGUGACCUCAGAAUAUUUCUUGUUGAUAUUUCUAGUGAGCAAAAUACUCCAAUAAAAUUUAGGACUUACAGUAAGUGAAUGGCUACUGAAAAAUGGUAUCAUGAGAAUUCAUGCCAAGUAUGCAAUUUCCUUACUUAUUACUUUUACGCUGGAAUGAAAUACUGUUUCAGAGAUAUGCUGAUGCUGAAAUAUUCAGUAAGUUGAAUUAUUCCCAUCAUUAUUAUCUGUUUAAUAUAUAUUACCUAAGGCAAUAAGAUGGUGUUGCUUCAGCUUUCUGACUUACCAUAUGAUUUAGUAAAGCCCGAAGUUGUCACAACUAAUUUGAUUAACAUUUUUAUGCAAAAUUAUUUGCAGACUGCUAUCUUGGCUGGCAACUCAAAUUCCUUAAGCGUCAUACAGGCUCUGUUAAACUGACAAAGGAGUUUCUCUGGAGUUCACUCAUCCUCUUCAAGCGGCUGUGUGCCACUUGAGUACAUUGUGGCAAGUUUUUGUGGCGAGAACACAAAUAUCAAACCCAUCCUUGUACACUGAAGUGCUGCACCAGUGAACCCUGCAGCCUCCAGGGCCCAGUGCACACUUUGCACCUCUGUUUUGUGCUCCACCAGAUGUCUUACAAACCUCAUUCCCACCAGAAACCAAGAACAUUCGCUCUGUUAAUAUAUAGAGAAAAGGAGAUGGGCCUACAGUGAACAAGAGAGAAGGAAGAAGAGAUGUGCAAUAUCUGUACAGAUAAAUGAAUAAGCUGGAGCAGGUUGGAUGCUGGUCCAUCAGGCUGAACCCUAGUAACAAAGAUACCCUAUAAGUCAGAAGUAACAGAGGUUAGGAAACUAUAACCAAGAACUAGGCUAAAGGUUUGUAUAUGAACUAGGUGGACUGCAAUAAUUAAUAUGCCUAUGUGCUACACUAGCUGGAAUCCAGCCUACUUGCUGAAUAUUACAAGUUCUGUACUAGACAACAUCUACUUAUAAUUUAGAAAAAGAAGCCUGUGAUCAAAGCAACAGUUCAUUGCUGAAUUAAAUAUAUGUCAUGGUGGAUUCUUAUUUUCAGUGUUAUGGAUCAGAAAGCAGGACCUCUGAAUCCCUACUGCACAUAUGUAUGUUCUCCCUGUAGUGAUUUGGAUCUCUGCCACAAAACACGACCUCCUGCCUUAUCUUGCCUAUGGCCUUAUCUUGCCUAUCUGCCUCCAUAACAUCAACUGUUUUUACAAAAGAGUCUUUAAGAAUGAAGAGCUAUGGAUCUGCACUGAAUCUGCUUCCACGAAAGGUUUACAGCUCAUUCCUCUGAAGAAAGUGAUGUAGGAUGACUUUAAGCCAUGGUGUAGUGCAGGCAUAGGCAAACUCGGCCUCCAGAUGUUUUGGGACUACAACUCCCACCAUCCCUAGCUAACAGGACCAGUGGUCAGGGAUGAUGGGAGUUGUAGUCCCAAAACAUCUGGAGGGCCGAGUUUGCCUAUGCCUGGUUUAGUGUUAUAGGCAAACCAGUAAUUGUAGAGGAGAAAACUUGAAACCAGGCUGCCUCAUGUUUAUCAUAACAUCUAGUUCUACCAGAGGGGUUAGAUAGAAACGAUGCAAGCAUAAUUUGUAAAUAUGUGAAAUGUCAAAACAACUGAUAAAGAAUUUAACUAUGCUAUCGUAAGACAAAUUAAAAAUAGGCAGUAUGGCAUUUUAGCUACUUUAGAAAUAAGGUAAAAAUCAGUACAUUUAUCAAUGCUUUAGCACUGAUUGAUGAUUUUUAUAUGCUAAAUGAUUGCUCCUAUUAACAUUUUUGCUAAAAUAGUAUGAGAUCUUGCUUAGUGUAGAGCUAGUGGAAUGCAUCUUAGUCAGAAUUCAUAAACUAACAGCCUAGCAAACUGUUCUUGACAGUGAAUACAUUCCAAAAUAUAUCAUAUUGCUUAUUCAUGCUAUUUAUUACAUUGCUGCUUAUUUGAGUUCAAAAUCCAUAGAAAAAAACAUUUAUAAUGGUUCUAUAAACAUCUAAAACUUCAUCUAUAUAUAAAUGUUCAGAAGUUAUUGUGGUUCUCCUAUAACUACAAAUUUCU